rnacentral:rRNA from 1 species
AGAUUGAACGCUGGCGGCAUGCCUAACACAUGCAAGUCGAACGGGAGUAGCAAUACUCUAGUGGCGGACGGGUGAGGAAUACGUAGGAAUUUGCCCUUAAGUGGGGGAUAACCCGGGGAGACCCGGAUUAAUACCGCAUGACCUCGAAAGAGCAAAGUGGGGGAUCGCAAGACCUCACGCUUUUGGAGAAGCCUACGUCGGAUUAGCUAGUUGGUGAGGUAAUGGCUCACCAAGGCGACGAUCCGUAACUGGUCUGAGAGGAUGAUCAGUCACACCGGAACUGAGACACGGUCCGGACUCCUACGGGAGGCAGCAGUGGGGAAUAUUGGACAAUGGGCGAAAGCCUGAUCCAGCCAUGCCGCGUGUGUGAAGAAGGUCUUCGGAUUGUAAAGCACUUUAAGUUGGAGGAAGGGCAUUAACCUAAUACGUUAGUGUUUUGACGUUACCGACAGAAUAAGCACCGGCUAAACUCUGUGCCAGCAGCCGC